AAGUCCCGCAACGAGCGCAACCCUUGUUCACUGUUGCCAGCACGUUAUGGUGGGGACUCAGUGGAGACCGCCGGGGUCAACUCGGAGGAAGGUGGGGAUGACGUCAAGUCAUCAUGCCCCUUAUGUCCAGGGCUUCACGCAUGCUACAAUGGCUGGUACAGAGAGUGGCGAGCCUGUGAGGGUGAGCGAAUCUCGGAAAGCCGGUCUCAGUUCGGAUUGGGGUCUGCAACUCGACCUCAUGAAGUCGGAGUCGCUAGUAAUCGCAGAUCAGCAACGCUGCGGUGAAUACGUUCCCGGGGCUUGUACACACCGCCCGUCAAGUCAUGAAAGUUGGUAACACCCGAAGCCGGUGGCCUAACCGUUGUGGGGGAGCCGUCGAAGGUGGGACUGGUGAUUAGGACUAAGUCGUAACAAGGUAGCCGUAA
rnacentral:rRNA from 1 species